rnacentral:rRNA from 1 species
GUGGGGAAUUUUGGACAAUGGGCGAAAGCCUGAUCCAGCCAUGCCGCGUGCAGGAUGAAGGCCUUCGGGUUGUAAACUGCUUUUGUACGGAACGAAAAGACUCCUUCUAAUAAAGGGGGUCCAUGACAGUACCGUAAGAAUAAGCACCGGCUAACUACGUGCCAGCAGCCGCGGUAAUACGUAGGGUGCAAGCGUUAAUCGGAAUUACUGGGCGUAAAGCGUGCGCAGGCGGUUAUAUAAGACAGAUGUGAAAUCCCCGGGCUCAACCUGGGAACUGCAUUUGUGACUGUAUAGCUAGAGUACGGUAGAGGGGGAUGGAAUUCCGCGUGUAGCAGUGAAAUGCGUAGAUAUGCGGAGGAACACCGAUGGCGAAGGCAAUCCCCUGGACCUGUACUGACGCUCAUGCACGAAAGCGUGGGGAGCAAACAGGAUUAGAUACCCGGGUAGUCC